rnacentral:misc_RNA from 1 species
AUUCAACAAACGAUCACAAGCAGAUUCAACAGAUUAUUUAUUUAUUUUACUUCCACAUUCCUGAAAACCAAACAAUAGGAAACACUUAAAUUUUCCAAAUAUUCAGAUCUGUAAUUUUCGCUCCAUCUAAAACCCUUUUCUCAAAUAUAGUUUUUAAAAAAACCCAUUUAAAUCCCCAUAAAACCUCAACAAAUUAAAAUUUUAAAAUUUCAAAA